rnacentral:lncRNA from 1 species
GCAAUGGGCAAGAGCCCCAGUCCACCCUUCCCAGCCUCAGUUUCCUGUCCUGACUGUUAAGCGUGGACUGUCUGCCUACGUCUCAGAACGGUCUGGACGUGGGGAGCCGGGAAACACUUUGAUUCUGUUCUCAUCACCAUUUGCAAACAAGGACACUGGGGCGUGGAUCAGAGCCUUCUUUGCACGGAACUCCUGUCGGAGGGUAGUUUGACCACACCAGCACUGGGCACACAGGACCUUCCUCCCUGCCAGCCUGUAUCUACUGUGAUCUCUUCAAAAACACCCAGAAAAAGAAAACAGAGCCCCCCAGCAGUGUCCCCAGCCAGAGGCAAAGCUGAGCCUUCCGAGGCACAAGCUUCAAGUUCCAGUUGUGACCCCCAUAUUCCAGGACCCUGGAGGCAGGCUGGGCCCAUGCACCGACCAAGCAUCAUUUCCCUGAUAUAUCAACUGACAACAUGACCUCUGUUGUUCAGAACAACUGAACACAAAACCCUCCUACAGUCCAAGCUGAACUUAUUUCUGGACAUUUGGACUGCUGUUGGCAUUUGGAGUUUCCUGUGGGGUUGACAU